AGUCUGUGCCACAGGUGGAGCCAACUUUGGCUAAUUUGACAAGCUAACGAAUUCCGAAAGGAAUGGAGUCUUCUAAUAAGCUCGGGGCCCGACAUUAAGGACGGAACGCACAGUGCUGGCGAGAAAAGGAGGCGUCUGUCUGGCUGCUGAUGUCUGUAUAGAAACCUGACCUAGCCCCUAGCUUGUGUCCCGUCUAUAAACACAGCGUAUCGGACACUUCACUCAGUGACCACGGGGAGAGGAGAGAGAGAGCGAGAGAGGGAGAGAGAGAGAGGAAAGGGAGAGAGGAACACGCCAAAGAAAUUCGAUCCAUUAUCGAUCUAGCAAUGAGGCUUGCAGAAGGAUUCCCUCCCACCUCCCACCCCUCCCAAAAAAAAAACAACAACGCGGCCUGCACUCCACACAGCAUUGCCCCGCCGUUACAGGACAUCCACGCAGGACGUGUUGUUCAUUCAUGAUCAUACAGCGCUGUGAAGUAACUGGCAUGCUAUUAAUCAAAGGAGAAUGAAACUUUUCGUUCUGUUACUCGUUCAUCAUGAUGGUAGUUUUGAAAUACACCUGGCAUCGACAGAGAGAGACAUCCCUCACGCUGACAGCACUCCGUGUGUACAGAGCCGCCUCAAACAGCACGCAGAGGAGUGAACGGCAACAGCGCUUUACAAGAAUCACAACCGUCUCUGUUUCCACGCAGGGUGCACAGAGAAACUCAAGCUAACGCACGCAGCUGCCAUAGCUCGCAAUGUGUGUUUUAUUGAAAUAAAUGUGAUAUUUUAAAUAAGGGUGCAUGCCAGUGUUUCAGUUAUGACAUAAA